rnacentral:lncRNA from 1 species
GGCUAGCUAGGCCUAGGACAAGAGACGAGAUUGAAUCCAAAAAUAGAAAUUAGAGGACCGGAUUGGUCUAACUGAAAGUUGAGAGAUGAAGGGAUGAAAUCGACUAUUUUGCCAACCAGAAACUAUAAAUCAUUGUGAAACUCUUUUACAACCCGGUGAAGUGUGAUGAGUGAAUGUACCUGCACUGCACAUAUAAUUAAACACAACGAAUCUUGGUUCAGAAAAGAAAAAACAGAAACCGAAUCUGCAAAAACCCCAUCAUUUAAAUCUUGUUCAGUUUGAAGGGGAUUAGAGAGGAUCGGAGGGGAUUGAGAGAGAUUAAAUCCCCAACAAAUCAAAACCCCUUCAA